rnacentral:rRNA from 1 species
GACGAACGCUGGCGGCGUGCUUAACACAUGCAAGUCGAACGGAAAGGCCUGCUUUCCCUUGUGGAUUGCGGGUACUCGAGUGGCGAACGGGUGAGUAACACGUGAGUGAUCCGCCCCCAACUUGGGUAUAAGCCUGGGAAACUGGGUCUAAUUCCCGAUAGGACUGCAGGGUGGUGCCUGUGGUGGAAAACGAUUUUCUAGUGGUUGGGGAUGAGCUCGCGGCCUAUCAGCUUGUUGGUGGGGUAAUGGCCUACCAAGGCGGCGACGGGUAGCCGGCCUGGGAGGGUGGACGGCCACAUUGGGACUGAGAUACGGCCCAGACUCCUACGGGAGGCAGCAGUGGGGAAUAUUGCACAAUGGGCGGAAGCCUGAUGCAGCGACGCCGCGUGGGGGAUGACGGCCUUCGGGUUGUAAACUCCUUUCGACCGCGAGGAAGCCACCUGGUUGGAAGGGUGGUGACGGUAGUGGUAGAAGAAGCACCGGCUAACUACGUG